rnacentral:rRNA from 1 species
GACGAACCGUGCGAACGUUGUUCGGAAUCACUGGGCUUAAAGGGCGCGUAGGCGGAGUGGCAAGUCUGUGGUGAAAUCCCCCGGCUCAACCGGGGAACUGCCGUGGAUACUGCCAUUCUCGAGGGGUGUAGGGGCAUGCGGAACUCAGGGUGGAGCGGUGAAAUGCGUAGAUAUCCUGAGGAACGCCGGUGGCGAAAGCGGCGUGCUGGACACCUUCUGACGCUGAGGCGCGAAAGCCAGGGGAGCGAACGGG